AGCUAGUCGGCGGGGUAACGGCCCACCGAGGCGACGAUGCGUAGGGGUUCUGAGAGGAAGGUCCCCCACACUGGUACUGAGACACGGACCAGACUCCUACGGGAGGCAGCAGUGAGGAAUAUUGGUCAAUGGCCGGGAGGCUGAACCAGCCAAGUCGCGUGAGGGAAGACGGCCCUACGGGUUGUAAACCUCUUUUGUCAGGGAGCAAGGUGCAGGUCGGGACCUGCUGUGAGAGUACCUGAAGAAAAAGCAUCGGCUAACUCCGUGCCAGCAGCCGCGGUAAUACGGAGGAUGCGAGCGUUAUCCGGAUUUAUUGGGUUUAAAGGGUGCGCAGGCGGAGGCACAAGUCAGCGGUAAAAUCGCGGGGCUCAACCCCGCUCCGCCGUUGAAACUGUGUCCCUUGAGUGCGCGAAGGGUAGGCGGAAUGCGUGGUGUAGCGGUGAAAUGCAUAGAUAUCACGCAGAACUCCGAUCGCGAAGGCAGCCUACCGGCGCGCAACUGACGCUCAUGCACGAAAGCGUGGGUAUCGAACAGGAUUAGAUACCCUGGUAGUCCACGCAGUAAACGAUGAAUGCUAUCUGUCCGGCCGGAAUGACGGCUGG
rnacentral:rRNA from 1 species